rnacentral:rRNA from 1 species
CAAUAGCGUAUAUUAAAGUUGUUGCAGUUAAAAAGCUCGUAGUUGGAUUUCUGGAUGGAGCGACCGGUCGGGCAUUAAUUUGUCUGCACUGGAGUCGGUUCCGUCCAUCCUCUUGGAAAGUGCGUGGGGCAUUAAGUUGUCUGGCGUAUGAUCCAAGUCGUUUACUGUGAAAAAAUUAGAGUGUUUAAAGCAGGCCUUCGCCUUGAAUACAUUAGCAUGGAAUAAUAAGAUAGGACUUUGGUCUACUUUGUUGGUUUGCAGACCGAAGUAAUGAUUAAUAGGGAUAGUUGGGGGUAUUUAUAUUCCGAUGUCAGAGGUGAAAUUCUUAGAUUUUCGGAAGAUAAACUUAUGCGAAAGCAUUUACCAAGGAUGUUUUCAUUAA